rnacentral:snRNA from 1 species
GAAUGUGAGGGCGAUCUGUCACCCCAUUGAUCGCCAGGGUUGAUUCAGCUGAUCUGGCUGGCUAGGCGGGUGUCCCCUUCCUGCCUCACCACUCCAUGUGCGUCCCUCCCGAAGCUACGCGCUUGGUUGAAGAGGACGGUCUUCCCCUAAUAGAGACCUGCUAGAACCUCCAAACAAG